GACGAACGCUGGCGGCGCGCCUAACACAUGCAAGUCGAACGAGCGGGAGGGAGCUUGCUUUCUCGAGCGAGUGGCGAACGGGUGAGUAACGUGGGAGGAACCUGCCUCAAAGAGGGGGACAACAGUUGGAAACGACUGCUAAUACCGCAGAAGCUCACGGUGCCGCAUGGCACAGAGGGAAAAGGAGCCAUCCGCUUUGAGAUGGCCUCGCGUCCGAUUAGCUAGUUGGUGAGGUAAUGGCCCACCAAGGCGACGAUCGGUAGCCGGACUGAGAGGUUGAUCGGCCACAUUGGGACUGAGACACGGCCCAGACUCCUACGGGAGGCAGCAGUGGGGAAUAUUGCACAAUGGGGGAAACCCUGAUGCAGCGACGCCGCGUGGAGGAAGAAGGUCUUCGGAUUGUAAACUCCUGUUGUUGGGGAAGAUAAUGACGGUACCCAACAAGGAAGUGACGGCUAACUACGUG
rnacentral:rRNA from 1 species